CUAAAAUUCAUCCGUCCUGUCCAUAAAGCUAUGGUCCACUUGUUUUCACUAUUAUAUUAUAAUCCUCUCUAUUAAGUUCCACAAGUAUUUAAUUGCUCUCCUGUCAAUGAACGUUUGAGUUGUUACAGCUUUCCACUGCUUUGAACGUGCUGAGCUGAUCAUUCUUGCACACGUCUCCUGGAAAACAAUAUGAGGGUACCAAUUUACAAUCCCACCAAAAAUGAACAUAGAAGGAUCCUAUUGAUCCACGUCGUCUCCAACACUUGGCAUUAUCAGACUUGUUCAUUUUUUCCAACUGAAAGAUUAUUAAAUGGUGUGUCGUUGUGGCCUGUUCGUUUUUGUUGGCUAUCCAGGUAUGUUUAACAGUAGUCACUGGUGUAGUGGGGAUCACCCUGCAAGGGGGCUGUGAAGAUGUGAGGAAGAACAGUAUGCUUGCAAAGCCUCUCACAAUUGGGACCGUGUCAUUGUCUUGUUCCCUCUGGGUCCCAACGCAGUACCUGGUCCCUCAUCACUGUUACCAUUGUCAUCAUCAUCACAACAGUAAUAGACAACAUUUAUUGAGCACCUACCAGAAACCUUAUAAAGGUAGGUUCUAUACUAUUCCAAAUAAAAGAUGGGGAACUAAAAUUAAGUAUCUUUCCCAGAAUCACACAAGUAGUAAAUGAUGGAGCAAGGAUCUGAACCCUGGCAUCUGACACCCAAGCCAUUAACCACUAUAUUAUAGGUGUCCAGUAAAUACUUGAAUGAAAUGCCUCUACCCACACAUAACCGGAGAUAGGGACAGAUGCCAUGGCACUUUUAGUUAUCUCCUAUCAAAUAUAUUUAAAAUGUACCCACAUUCUGGUUAUAAACAAAGCUUAAAGAUUUUUAUAAUUUUACUCUAGUCAAAUGUAGUUCAUUUCAUUUAUGAUUGGUUAUAAUUUCUGAGCAAUCAUGUGGACUUGAGAACUCUCAUUGAGAUCUAACCUACAAGUUCUUCUCAAAUGUCACGAGAUGUUUAUGAAUUCCUGCUUUACCAACAAUUCCCCUAACCCUGCUCUAUUUUUUUCUUACAUCAAUCACACUUAUUAUCUCUAACAUACCAUAUAAUUUACUUAUUAUUGUGCCUGUUAUUGACCCACAGGGCAGGAAUAUUUGUCUGCUUAGUUCCAUCUGUUUCUUUAAUCGCUUUAGCACUUAUGCAUCCCUUGUGCCUAAAACGGUGCAUGGCACAAAGCAGCAGCUCCACAAAUAUUUGUUGAAUGAAUGGGAUAAAUGUGUGCUUCCAGGAAAAAAAUGAAGGAGUGAAUGAAGCCAUGAAUACUCAAUUGAACAGUUAGUGGAGAUUGACUGUAUUUUGAUUUUGUGGUUUUAUUUUUCAUUUUGGAGCCAGCUUUUUUUUUCAGGUUUCAAACAUUUCUGUAGGCUUGGGAGGCCUGAGGUUUUGUAUCUAUAUACCUAAAGGAUAAAAACAGUCCUGGAGAUUCAAAACAAUGUUUUGUUGCCUUUUCUUUUAUCUCUUAAAAACCAACAACAUCAACAAUGAGCAGGCUGCCUUAAAUAAGACUGGCAAUGAGGCAGGAAGCAUUAAAAAACAAAACAAAGCAAAAAAUUCCUGGCAGCUUUAAUAUAGCAAUUUUUCUAGCAAUCUGCAUUGGCGUCCAGGUCCAGUGCACCCCACUACAUAUGUAAAACAUCUGACAUGUAUGUGACAGGCCUGAACCCCUGGCUGUUAUGCUGAUUCCCAAACUGGGGUGCAUGAGAUAAAUGCAGGGACCAGGAACCAUCCCUCCAAGUCGAGCUGUGGCUCAGUUCUCAGCCGGGCCAAACGAGUAAUUAUAGCUUCCCACUGUGGUGUGCAGGGCAGGAGGCUGAUUUAAUAAAGGAAGCCUGCUGUCUGUCUCCAGCCUGGCUCUGACUCAUGGAACCAGGGAGUCCCAGCAGCGCUGCCCACAGAGGGUGGUGAGCAGCUGGGGGGUGGGAGGUGAGGGUGGCCGGCUAGCAAAGCCGAAAGCCCAAGAAUGAGGAAACUCCCUGCUUGGCUUGGAGGAACCUGCAGCUGGAGGCAGAGGAAGUGAGGCUCAGACAGAGCAGCUGCUGUUCCAGCAACUGCAGCCAUUGCCGCACCCUUGAAAGGAGGCCCCUGCCGUGUGGAGAUGUAAAAUAAAAUGGGUUAGUAAUUUUCAUAUUCAAAAUUAAUUGGGGGAAAGACUGAAUUGCCUCUCCCAGGGACGGCUGCCUUUGUGUGGUAUACCGGUGGCGUCGGUUUCUUCAGGGGGCCUGGGUCAGACGAGUCGGGAGUGAGGAGCGUUCUGUGCAUUGGAUUCCCCACUUUGGCAGGGGAGCCAGCUAAUUAGGUCUUUACAGACACAGUGGCAGUUUGACCUGGGAGUGGCUUCAGCUACCGGAGGGUGACAGCCCGCUCUGGAAUGGAUUUGGAUUUCACUUUAGAUAGGUCACCAGAGGUCAUUUUAUCCCUCCUCCUGUCUCCAGCGGCUUCUUCCUCCUCCCCUGACACUCAGCCAGACGAGACAACUUGACCUCCUCCUCCAGGCCCUGUGGGCUAGGAGAUUCCGCUCCCACCCCUUCCCUUCUCGCUGAGUCACCCACCUCCCAGUCAGGUGAUCCUCCCCUGGGCCCUUCUGAGAGCACCUUGACCUAUAUUCUAAACUCUCCAUUACAGCCGAUUCUAAUUGUCCUGAGAGAGGGCCAGCCAGGCCAGCAGAGCGAGUAUGCUACCAGCAGCCCCAGGCUGCAGACAGGCGCCCCAGGCAGUGAGAGGGAGUGCUCCCCCUCCAAGAACGGGAACCACCAGAGAACCAGCACUGAAUAGGCCUGAAAAUGGAAAGUUAGGAGGCUGGAGGCUGUGCACCCGGCAAGGGAGGAGGGGGUGGUGAGUUGAGUCAGCUGGGAAAGCUGACAGCCACUGGGAGACACAUGCUUCCUCCCCUCCUGCUCUGGGCUCAGUGGCUCCCUGCCAGGCCCUGACUGAGCUGGCUGCUGGGAUGAGCCAUGAAGGACAGAUGCAAUGGCUCCAGGGUUGGGGGAUAUUGCUGCCCACGGGACAGGGGACAGGGAGAGGUGAAAAACUGUGCAAAUGCUGGAAUAGACCUGGAUGACUCAUCGGGAUAAUCCCAGCCGAGAAAACUUCCCCCCUGCAAGGAACAAGUUCCAAUGCUAAAGUUAGCCACAAAAUGGCCUCUACUUAUUUUGUCUGUGGGUUCUUUGUGCAGGGUCUGCGUGUGCAGUCUUUGUGGCCUUUGGAUGUGAGGAUAACGGGGGUGCUGUGGGAAAGGGGAUUAAAAGAGAAGAGUUCAGAAUCAAACUUUAAGCCUCAUCCUUGGCAUCAAGCUUGUAAAAAGCGAUAUUAACUGAAGAUCACAGUUCCUGUUGAAUUAGAAAGGGUGCUGCACUUCUUCAAAGCCUAGCCUUACCAGUUAGCAGCUCUGUGACUCGGGCAAAUCACUGUAUGCCUCCGUCUCCAAUCUGUCACAUGGGGGUUUAAUAAAACCACGCUUCAUCAGAUGGCGUGAGCAUCACAUCGAAUGACGUGUAAAAAUAGUCUAUUAGUUGUAUAUAAUUAUGCAUAACUAUAUGAUAUUCUUUUUUCUAGUUGUUAAGUCACUCCCCACUCCCAUCUGGGAGGAUUAUUUUAUUGGUUGAAUGUCCCAAACAUAGAAGAGCCUGCCUCUGGGUGUGUUUACUAAUGUCAAUAGAACACUGUAGCCUCUGGCUGCAUUAUGGUCUACCAAGUCUAACACACAGCCCCCAGAGCAUCUGUAUACACCACCCACAGGUUGGUUAUACAUCAUUUUAUCCUUUUAUCUCAAAAGCUGUGCAUGUAUCCUAAUUUGGGUAACAAUCUGCAGAUUGGAGUGUACUCCAAUUUUUUAAUCAGAAUGUAAACGUAUGAAGUUAAUGCCUGGUGCACAGUGGGUGCUAGGUGGCAGGGAAAGUGCACAUGAGAUGGAUAGAAGGAAAGAAGAAGGGAAGAAGGAAAGGAUAGGAGGAGGAAGGAAAUUAGAUAACUAGAGGAGCAGAGCUGGAUUUACCAGAAAGCUAGUUAUGCUUAAGCUUUAGGGCCCCUUGCUUGCAUGGGUCCCUUCAAAGGCCUGGUCCCUAAUUUCUAAUUAGUGUAUUCCUUUCCUUCCAGCGUUGUACUCCUCAGGCCCCACCAGACCUGGAUCUGCUCCUUUAUGGCUGGUCUCUGAGAGACCCAACCCUUGUUCAUAUUUAUGAUUCAUAAGCUUAAAAGAAAUGCAAGUGGUAUGGGGGAUGUGGCAUUUCCAUGUUGUCUCCACCAUGAACUCCAAAUCUGAAAUGUGUAGGAAGAUCCACAUUUGGCCAGGCAAGAACAACACCAUAAGGAAUGCGAUGUGAAAAGAAGGUGGAGGUCAGGAAUGUGCUGAAUUAUUGGGCCAAUUCCAAUUGCGUUCUGGAAUCCACUCUGGUACCUCGAGGGCUCUUCACUUUCCAGACAUCUGUUGACAACCACCAUGGGCCAGCACUGCCACAGCGCUGAGGAUGGAGCGGACAGACAAGAAGCCUUAUUCCGUGGAGCUUGUGUUCUAGUGGAGGUAGAGAAAAAAUAAAUGAGUAAAACAUAGUAUAUCAUAUGGUGCUAAGUGGUAUGGAGAAAAAUAAAGCGGGGAAUGCCAUAGCGAGAGUGGGGUGCAGGAGGGAGGGUCACAGUUUUGAUUUAAAGUGGUUACAGAAAGCUUCAGUGAAAAAGUAGCGUUUGAACAAAGCCCUGGUGGAGGGAAGGUGAUACAAUGGUGGCCCUUCGGGUAAAGUAAAUAAACCUCCUCCUUUGCGGCAUAAUUAGGGGCUAAGUUAUUUUUAUCUCCAAAUGUUCUUUUCACCAACUAUUCAUGAUCCCUAAAAUUCUAUUUUUAGUAAUAUACUCUUUUAGGUUAAAAUGCUAAAGUAAAAAUAUUUAGUUAUCAACUAUUAAAACUUCUGUGUGAAUUUGUUUAUCUGAUAUUUUAAGUUCUAACGAGCAAGGAGGGUGAGGUGAUUGAACAGGAGGAAGUUUAUGUGGAGAUAACGCAUCUUGGGAAGUGCAGGGAGGAAGAAUGUGACGUGGGAGCCUGAUGGCCACUGCUGGACUGAACUGCUCCUUAAGAAUUGCUCCUGUUUCUCCCCCGUGCCCACGCUGCCCAGUCCUGGGGCAGAUCCUGGGGCUCUCAGCCAGUUCUUCCUAACCGUAGUGCUAACUGAGGUGCCCUGGAUGCAGGAAACAGGCUGAUGAGUGGUUUAAUAAUGCAUCUCCUGAGGGCCUUGGAGCGUUUGGAGUCGUGCUGUAGAUAGUGGUAUAAAUGGGGACACACAGGAAAGCGCUUCUGGCACUUGUAGCUCUAUUAGUCUAUGGUUAAUUUAAUAGCCCUCAGAAAAAUAAACGAGUCAGGAAACUCUGAAAGUUUCCUCCUUAAUCAAGGCAGGAAAGCAGCAUUAUUUAUGAUGGCAUUUGCCUCAUCUUUUGAAAUUAGAUUGUCCCCUAUAUCUGUAUCUUAGGUUUACCUUUGUUCCUAUAAGUUCAAUUCUCAAAAAUGCUUCUAUAGACAUAAGCUUUGGACCAUGGGGCAAAACUCAAAUGCCCACAGGGAAGACAGUAAUGGACACACAGGAAGGGACUGGUGGAGACUGUGCCACCCUGGGGAGUGCAUCCUCUACUCAGCUCUUGGGAUUGUUAUCAAUUGGGUAUGAGAGGUCAAUGUUGCUAGACUUUCUUAUUUUUCAAGAGAAGCUGGAAAUCCAAAUUUUUAGGCCUAAUCUUCUGAUUUUUAAAUGUUGGCAACUAAUUCCAGAUAGGUAGACUGUGCAGGUCAAUUUAUGAUCUCUGACAUAAACGGAUAAUUUUGGUACAGCAUGGAACAUGAUAGGAAAGGUAGUCCAAGGAGAGACAGCUGAUCAACCUCACAGUUUGAGAAGAUAGAUUUUUUUUAGGGAGUUGACCCCUGCGCCAAGAUCUGCCUCAUCUAUUUAGCCAAUGGGUUAUUUUGGAGAAACGAGUCGCAUCUGAGUAGUCCUGGUGGGGUGGGAGAAAAUGCUGAACUGGGAAGUCGAGGCCUAGGUCCUAGUCUUGGUUCUCUUGCAAACUCACUGUACCGCCUUCGGUAGAUCUCUCAGCCUCUUGGGGUUUAUCAGCAGAAUGAGGGGCUGGACUUAAGGGUUUUCAAAAUGUGCCCCCGCAAGCCCAGGAGUCUUCAGAGAUGCC
ensembl:lncRNA